rnacentral:lncRNA from 1 species
AUGAAACUUGUAACCGAUGAUGAUGAUGAUGAUGGUGAUGUUAUGAUAAAGCUGAUGUUCCGUUUCGGGUUUAGAUUCAAGCAUGGUUCGGGUUAGCCUCGGUUCAGUCAACGACGCUUAGUAGUGGGGAUGGUUAUCUUGUUUGAAGUUUGGGGUAUAUUUUGGACUCGGUUCCUUGGUUCACACUUCAGAUUCGGUUUUUGGUGAUUCGGGUGUUUCGGUUCAGAAUCAGAGUUCGGGUCAACCCAGUCAACACAACGGGUUGACUGGUCAAAGCUGGUCAACGAGUUGACUCAGUCAACGGAAGUCAAAAUCAGUCAACAGUUCGGUCAACCGUGGUCAAAGUCAGAUUUGGUGCGGUCAAACUCAGUCAAUACGAGACGCGGAAUGCUUUAGUUGCACGCUAGCGAGUUCACAUUCUUGGAAUGAC